rnacentral:lncRNA from 1 species
ACGUUAGUGAAAGCGGGGCCAGGCCCCGCUUUCACUAACGUUCUCAAAGUGAGAAAAUUCUCAGCUCAAGAUUUUCUCAGAACUGUCUGAGAAUUGUCUCAGCUGAGAAAUUUCUCAAGUUGGCUUUCUCUAAACUUUUUCUCAAGUCUUGAGAUUUUUCUCAGCUGAGCCGUAAUUUUUUAAGACAUAAGCGGCCAAACAUCCAAGGAGCCGCGUGAACUUUCCCACGAACACGAGAGCAUAGUUGGGGGCAGUGGAUUUAUUCAUUUAUUGAGACGAAAUGAAGCGUUGAGAAGUGUUAAUAAACAACAUGUACAGUUUCGGGAUAUAUCCAAAUUGUAUGUUUGUACACUGUUGUACAAAGGUCACAGCCUGUUGAUGAAGAUCCUCGGCUUAUUAUACAGAGGUCAGGCUUGAGCUAUGUGCUGAUUCAAAAGAUGCUAAUGACAGUGGAUAAUCCAUUCUGAGUUGUUCUAGGACCAUUCACCAACGUUUCAAAACACUGAUGGAACUGAAGGCAGUACAUGUACUGGUGUCUGGCCUGUGAUUUCAAGUAUAGACUAUAAUUGAUGUACCUCCUCCUGAUGUAUCUCCUUGAGUACAAUAUAUCUGCCAUGUGAAAGGAACAAGCUGCAAGAUAUACUGUGGAAGUGGGGGCCUAUGUAAAAAAACAUUUUAUUUAAAGAAUAUAAGAAAUCUGACACUUAACUACUGAAAAGGUGCAUAGGGGAUAUUUUUGUGUGUAUAGACUUUCAUCAAGAUUCUGAGAAAAUUGAUUUGUUAAACAAAAAUAGCCAUAUUGUGUCUUCAAAGCUAAAAAGAUUAAGAUCUUAGGAAAACAUUAGGACUCAAUAAAAGUAAUGGGGUUAUGAAACUGUAGUGUUCAACAUUUAAUUUUUUUUGUUUUAUUUUCACUACAUUUUGUGAAGAGGGUUCCAUCACAAGAUGUUACAUAUUGGUAAGAAUGAGAUGUAGUUUAUGAAAAAAGUAUUUUGCUUUAAAUAUGCAGACUUUAAGUUACAUAAAAAAUUAAAGCUGUAACAGUAAAGCUUGAUUAAAAAAAACACACUGUUGAAAACUAGCCAACAUGUUGUAAUUGUCACACUUUUUUUGGGUGCACAGGGGACACAAUUAGCUAUAUAAUUCAAUACAACUUUAACCCUUAGGCCCUUGCUAAAUUUCUAUAAUGAACUUGUCCGUUUUACAAUUUGGACAGUAUUAUUAAGUGUUAAAAGGGGUGCUAACCAAAAGAUACUGACUGAAUGGCGAACAGUGCAGAUCAAGAUCAGACUGCACAGAUGUGCAGGCUGAUCAUGAUCUACACUUGUCGCAAAGGUAGGACCAACCAUGUACAGUAUGAUAAGGGUUAAAACUGCUUGAGCCAUUCAGCAGAAAUUGCAAACAUUUGUUGACUACAUUGAUUGGAUAUAUGUAAUUUGCCCCAAAACACUUUAUAAAACUGAACUGAAUUAAAAUAAGGUGAGAGAGAAGAAAAAGCUUAAUUAUUAAAAAAAAACAAUAUAGCCGAUAGAUAUACUUGGUUGAAGGCAUUAUCUUUGUUUACAUUAAAUUUAAAUGUGGCUGUCACGUUGUUUGUUAGGAACAUAAGACACAUUAAUUUCUUGUUUUUGAAUUUUAAUUAUCGCAUUUAUGUGUCAAAGAUUGGCAUGGGUGAAAAUGUUACUGAAAAUAUUAAAUCAGUUUUUAUUGAUUAACUCCUUUUUUGGCUUGUGCAGUAUAAAGUCAUGUGCAUCAUUGAAAGUAUAUGUAGUACUUUUCUAACCAACUGAUAAACAUUCUAUUUUUGGAAAGUUUGUUGCAUAAAGUUAAAGGAGGUUUUUUUGUAUGAAAUUUACAUGGUGUAGGCCUUUAAGCUGUUUACUUUAAAAACCACCUUGUAUUUUUGAUAAUUU